rnacentral:RNase_P_RNA from 1 species
GGAGUAGAACAGGUGGCCGCUGUCCUGCCCAUACCGGCAGGAUGGAGGAAAGUCCGGGCUCCGAAGGACAGGGUGCUGGGUAACUCCCAGUCCUGGCGACAGGAAGGAAAGUGCCACAGAAAGUAUACCGCCAUGUCAGAUAGACAAUAUCCGGCAAGGUAAGGGUGAAAUGGUGAGGUAAGAGCUCACCAGUCUCUCCGGCGACGGAGAGAGCUAGGUAAACCCCACCCGGAGCAAGGCCAAAUAGGGGAACGUUCGAGGGCGGUCCGUCCAAGUUCCCGGGUAGGCUGCUUGAGCCCGUCGGUAACGGCGGGCCCAGAUGAAUGGUCACCGGCCCGACGGUGGGCAACCCCUUCGGGACACAGAACCCGGCUUAUGAUCUGCUCCGGCA